CUCAGCUUCAGCUUUCUCACCAGGGUUUGCCUGCGGGGGUUGCGUUGCCUACUCCUCCUCCUCCCUUUAGAAAACCCGGUUUGGCUGCCGAACCGGCUGCCCCGAAACCAGCAAGCCAGGAAGAUGUUUAGCGGAGGAGAUGCGCGGAAAUGUUGCGGAGAGAACCUUUUUUUUCUCCGCGGCUUCGUUGCUUUCGUUGAGGGUUGAGUCUUCUUGCCGGACCCAAUGAGUUGGGAAAGCAAGUGGGGUUUGUCCGUCUCCUUCGUGCUGAUUACAGAUUAUCAGAGUUGGGAGGGACCUUGUGGGUCAUCUAGUCCAACCCCCCCUAGCAUGGAGACCCUACACCAUUUCUGACAGAUGGCAGUCCAGUCUCUUCUUGAAAGCCCCCAGGGAUGAAGGUCCCACAACUUCCGAAGAGUUGUGCUCCAAGAGAGAGACCCGUUUCUGCUCCCCAAACCCUGUGAACUCUUCCUGGGUGUUGGGUCUCUAACUGGGGUUUAAGCCCCCACCCCACACUCGGCAGAAGUUCCUAUUCUGUGCAGCUGCUGGACACUAAGCGGGUAAUACACACUGUAAACUAUAAUUUUAGUUCUGGUUUUAGCAUGUACCAACCCAGCCUUUGGAAGCCAUAAAACCAUGGUUAAAUUGUGGUUUAAUGUGAAUUAUUAAACAGGUCUGUUAAACCAAGGUUAAAGUGUGACGGAUCCUGAGGUCUCUUUCCUCUGUUUUUCUGGGUGGGCACACAAAUUUAAUUUUGAAAAGCCUUUUGGACCCCUGCACUAGAGAAACUCCAGAGAGAAAAAAAUGCCCCAAAUCCUGGUUUAAAAUCCUACUGUGCCCAUAAAUUUCCUUUUCUCUGCACUACGUCACUGUGUUUAUUAAACGGCUACUUCAUUAAGCGGAAACGUUAUCUAGUUUUUGCAGAAAGAUUUGUUUCUAAACCUGUUUACAGCCUUUUUUUUUUCUUUAAGAGGUUUGGCAAACUCCAUCUCCUUAGGGAUACUUUGCUCAAAUGUUCAAGUUUUCAAAA